UGAUCUGUAGCAAUCAAUACUAUUCACCUAAUGUCGCCAAUGUCACAACAGAAGAGGCAGGCAGUAAGUGGUCUGCCAGUUACCCAAGACAAAGGCUGAAAGAUUGGCAAUUGUGCAAAUGAUGAUGCAUAGAUCUAACCGGUGUUAUUUCCUCCUAGAGACAAGCCAAUCUAGUCAAGGUGAAAUCCAAGGGAGGGACAAUACUAUAAGACAGGCAAUGUAAGAAAGAGGAGUAAGAGAGCCCACAAGGCUUAAUGAAGUGUGGAGGGUGCGGAAAACAGUUCUCGUUUACAAUCCAAGAGAUAAGAUUAAAUAACUAGGAGAAAAAAUGAUGGGGAAAAAAAGAGAGUGAGAGAACAUGUUGUAAAAGGGCUUACUUUCUCCCAAAUGUGAGAGACUAGCAUACACGGUAAUAUAUUCAUGACAUGAAUCAUGAAGAUUUGAAGUAUAGCGAAGGAAAAGGACCAAUCUGGCACUACUAAAUGAUAUGGCUUGAUUACUAAUGACUAAUUGUUGAUAAGACAGGUAUCUACCAUAAAACAUUCAUCAUAAAGUUAAUUCAGCGUAAAUUUCUCUUAAAGCACGUAGAAAUGACCACCUAUCCCGUUCUCGAGCAUUCUUGAUAGCCUGUAACCAAUAACAGAACAUUAGAUUCAUAGGAUGACAAAUGACCUGUUGAUCAUAUAGAUGUAGAAAAGCCUAAGGAUUAGGCUAUGGAAACAAACCUCCUUAAGAGACUUUUUCUCAGCCUCUUCUUCUGAAAUAUCUCCACGAGAAACCAAUAAUAAGCAUAUGAGAUGUCUUCCGAAAACAAUAUCAUGUUAAAAGUGCAGAAUAGAGAUUCAACAAAUUGAGAAGGGCAGGGGAAAAAAGGAGGAAUCUUGAAACCUUCCAACCACUUGAUCAACACGACAUGAACACUUUGCACAUACUUUAUGCUCCUUUGCACAGCCUGUGAUUUUUCAAAUAAACGCAAAAAAUAUCAAACACAAACACUUGACAGAUUUCAUUAUGCUGUAACAACAACAACAACAACUACGGCUUAGUCCCAAAUAAGUUGGUGUCGGCUAUAUGAACCCUCAUUUCAUCAUUUAAGCUCAUAUCAUAUCAUUUCAUUAUGCUGUAACAAAUACACAUAAAAAAAACAAAAAACAAAUGUAAAUAGAAAUCAAAACUAACCAGUGCAGAGAUUGUGGUAAGCUUGAUGCACGUUUCUUUUUGAACACUUUUGACUAUCAGAUCAAGAAAAAAAAAUACAUGAACUUUUGUAAUUUUUAGUGCAGUGUUUUAAGUGAUAUAAAAUCUUACUAGGUACAUUUCGCAGAUUAGGUUCCCAACUGCAACUAAUAACAGAAAGGGAGCGCGAUACAGGACACUAGGUGGGGUUUAAAUGUGCCAAUUUGAAGUUCCAUGCUAUAGAAUUUCAAUUAUAAGCAAGUAUCAUGUGACUGUUGUUUGUUUGAUCAAGUGGAUUGAUAGGGGGAGCUUCAGCCGCACCUGCAAGAAUAAGUUGCAAUCAUGGGAAUGGGAAUAUAACUUGGUGUCAUAGAAGUCGUGACUCUGCUGUUCGAAUUCUCCUCCUAUCCCUAGUUGCCAUUUUCUCCCCAUACCUUGCAAAUAUAUCAGCUAAAUCAAAUUGCCCAACUUCUCUAAGUUUUUUGCUCAUCACCUCAAACAUAACCACCCCUUCCUCAUUGGAAUAAUAAUGCAAAAACUUGUUAUAAUCAAACCUAGGCACCUCAACUUUUCUGUACAUUAAUCUCUCUGCAUAUUUGUUCGCCUCCAACGUCUUCCCCGCCUUAACCAAACCUCCUACAAAGAUAGUGUCGAAAUUCACAAGAGGAUCUAAUCCUUUCCUCCCUCUCUUCCCUAAAUGCCCUUGCAACAACAUAACAUACGUAUGCAUUAUCGGCUCGCACCCCCUUUUAAUCAUCUCCCUAAAUACUUCAGUUGCUUCUCUUGCCCGUUUCAACUUCAACAGCCCUUUGAUCAUCCCAUGAUAAACACUCGUAUCAGGCUUCUCUAUUCGUUCUACAACCCUAUACGCCUCCAUAACCCUUCCUCUACUGAUAAGCCCAAAAGUUAUCGAUGCUAACGUAUGAUUGUCCGCCUUAAUCCCUCUCUUUUGCAUUUCUUCAAACACUAGGUAACUCUCUCCAAGCUUGCCUUUCUUGCACAACCAAUUGAUCACCAACCGAUAAGUUGAGACCCCUAAUUCACUCAUCCUAUUCACUCUAACCGAUUGGAAAACCUUCAAUGCUUCAACAUACUUAUUAUUCUUGAAAAGGGUCUCCAUCAUAGCCUCAACAGAUGCAAUAUCAGGUUCAAAACCUUCAUCCACCAUCAAAUUCCAAAUCUUGGAUGCUUCAAUUACAUCACCAACAUCACAAAAACCAUAUAUCAACCACCUAUAAGUAACCCCAUUUGGCUUUAUCCAAUCUUUCAACUUCAAUACAACAUGCUCAGCCUCCUCAACAAGCUUAGAUCUACAAAGGGACUCAACAACCUUAUUCAACACAUCCACACUAUACCCAUAUCCAAACCCAUUCAUCACAUGAAAGACUCCAACACAUUUCUUCAACUCCCUAACGGAAGCCAGAGUUUUCACUCCAACUACAUAAGUUUUAGGCGUUACCAAUUUACACCGUCCAAUUUCUUGAAACACUUCCCAGAAAAGCUCAAUGUUUCUUGAUUUUCCAAUUACAUCUAUCAGUUUAUGGAAGGUAAUGGGCGUGUGAUUGAAAUGAGGUUGGGUCUUGGUAAACUCAUAGAAUUUGUAAACGGGUCUCCAAGAAUAUUGGAACUUAUUGCAAACUUGAAGGAAAAAUUCAUGGGUAAGGUCAAAGGUUGUUUUACAGAGGUUGUUGUGGAUUUUCUGGUCGGAUGAGUACUGCUGUUGGUAAAGAAUCGUACAAACUCUUAGGAGAUGGGUUUCAUUCACUGGUUUAGUAAAAUUUGGAGAAUCGAGUUGAGGGUAAGCAAAUUGGAUUGUGUUGGUGGUUGGUGAUGCAGCAAGGAGGAUGAUGGGUGAGGUAUGGAGAUGACGAUGGGGUGAUACAAGGAAUGUGAAGGGUCUGAAAAUUGUAGGUUUUAACAUUUGUAUCAGAAAAUUUGCGUCGUUAGGAAUUCUAUUUCUUCUCUUGAAGGAGAACUAAGAAAGGAGAAAGACGAGACAUGAGAGAGUGCUAACAAGAAUUUUCACUGUAUUCACAUUCAAUUACAAUUAAAUAAUUUGAUGGACAUCCAGUCUAAGAAAUAAGAAAAGCCUUGCUUAAACAACUGCUUUAGUUAUUUCAACUACUCUACAAAGCUGUUGAGGUGAAAAUGUUUAAAAAACAAUUGAAUUCUUUUUUAUCCUUUUAUCUAAUUUUUAAAAUUUAAAGGACCUCAUUUAAUUGAAAAACUUAUUUGUUCCUUUUAAUUCAAGGUCUCGUUUAUCACAUUGUCUUUUAUUAAAAAAUAUAUUAUUUUAUAUUUAAUUAGGUGAGAUCAAUAAAAAUAAAAAUGAAAUUGUGUCUUUAAAUAAAUAAGAAAAGCUAGAUAUUUUUUUUGGUGGCAAAUAAAAAAAAACGACACAUAAAAUGAAACUAAGGGAAUACUAUUAAUUUGCAUUUGUGCUAGGAUCCUAAUAAUGUUAUUAUUUAUAAAAUGAAGACUUAAUUCUUGUUAGUAUGAUGUUACUCAUUCGCUUAUAACAUAUUACUACAUUGAAUGUUGUUCUAAAAACUUUAUUUAAUAAUAUAUGAAUAUUCAAGUUGUUGAAUUUAAACUUCUAAAAUAUUUUUAGUAAAAAAUAGAUAAUUUUUAUAUUUUUUUUUACAAUUACCUUAUUACUAUUAUAAUUAAUUUUGUAUCUUUUUUCUUAUAAUUUUUAAUAUUGUUUAAAAUAAAAUAAUACCAGAAAUUCACUAUUAAAAAAUUUUCAACCUCAACAUUUUAGAGACUAAAGCCGAAAUUUUACUAGCUUUGCCUUGAAUGGAAGUGUCUUUUUAACCCCCCACCCCCACCCCACUAGCAUAGUAACACGAGGGACUUGUUAACAGAAUAACCCCUAAAUAGUGCAAAACUUUCACAAGAAUCUACCCUGGUACGAAUAAAGUUAUGAAAAGAGUUGAUUACUGAUGCAGAUUUACAGCUUCCGGGUGACCUCUCAUUUAAGUGGCUAAAGUUAAAAAAGAGGACAAGUCGGUGCAUUAAAGUUUUUGUUAUGUUGGAAUCCAGGGAAGGGCAAAACCAAAUUUAUUAUAAGUAACCUUACCUCGCAUUUUGUAAGAGAUUGUUUUCACGGCUUAAACUCAUGACCUCCUAAUCACAUGAGAGCAACCUUAAGCCCCCUUUAUUUAGGGGUCUAAAGUUGCUUCUAAGAAAACUGCCCCUUCCCUGUGUUAGCCAUUUACUAGUUUUGUAUACCAGCUGAUAUACAUUUAGCUUAAUGAAUCAUAUGCGUUUUAUGAAUCUCCUAAAAAAUUGAACAAUUUCUUUUAUUUCAAUCGAGAAUCUAAUAAAGACAUUAUUGUAAAUAUUGAUUGAAUAGGUACAAAUAAGUACAUUACAACCACACAAUUGCGAACACUCAACCUAAGCCUUAAUGUAAAUUCACAGGCCGUCGAGUCCAAAAAACCUAAGACCAAAUACGACGAGUAUAUUGACCAACAAAACACCAAUGUUCUUACAUCACAAUAUCAUGAAGCAAGCUGUCUUGCAUUUUCAGAUAAAAUUUCUACAAGACUACCCUGACAUGGAAGUUAACUGAACGCCAAAGGAUCUCCAUUGCAAAACUUAUGACUACUCACCUCAUACUAUAGCCUAUUUUACAUUUAAAUAGGCUUAAGAAUCUAUUUUAGUCUAUAUUACACUCUCAAAACUCUUCAGUAGCUAAAAAAUUCUGAAAGCCAAGAAGAAUGGAAGUGUAUUGAUCUCAACCUUGGUCCUUUAAUGUAGACGAAAUCCAAAUUUACUUAUUUUCUCAAAGCAGCCAAUACAAACUUGGGAGUGUGAAUCAAAUUAGUGACCAUGAAGAGAAAUCGUUUAAGGGCCAUAUGGGAUUCAUUCUCGAAAAUGCACAUCUCAAAUAACUUGGACCUGAUUGUCUUCAUCAUCAUGGUUUACCUCAGCAUAUUCCUCAAGUGAUGAUGCUGUAAACAGUUCACCAACCUUCACGUCAUUUUGAGUUAGGUUUUUCUCUGAACUCUGAGACUUCCCUUUGUUCAUCUGUUGCAUACACAUUGACGCGCGCUUAGAAUCUCAGAAACAUCAUGAAAGCAACAUAAUCAGACAACAGACACCAAUGUGCUGAUACUCCGGUAAAAACAAGAUACUUUUAUACUGCUUGGCACAGUAGAAAUGACAGAGGAUAAAAGGAGAAAUGAAGGAGGUGUUUACAAGUUACAGUCUGGUAAUAUGUAAAUAAAAUGGGAAGUUUUCUAAAAAGGAGACUGUCCUGUUGGCUUAUACUAUCAAAUGAUAUGAUUAGAUUGUAAAUAAAUAUUAGAAUGUGAGAGAAGUAAAUCAACUGUCACCCGUCCCAUUCGUACCAACCAAUCGCUACAUAUAGAUAUUCAUUUCUCAAAAUGCAUUUCAUGAAUCAUUGAAACAUACUCUUUAAUGGGUAUUAUGCAAUUAAAAGUAGCCAUCAGGAAACGUUCUGCACAGAGACUGCUGAUCUCUGGCAUAUGUUUUUUUCAAUGAUUGGUAUCAUUUGGACACUACCUCAGUGUAUCAAGAAGCACUUGAAAGUUGGCACUUUUGGAAAGUCAACAGGGCCAUCAAGAGUAUCUAGAAAAUGAUCCAAGCUACUUUCUUCUCGUGUGUCUUGACAGAGAGGAAACUUGGAUGUUUUGAUGGCAUUUCUACUCCUAUAUAUAUAUGCUGAAUUGAUGCCGAGAUUUUUUUUUCUUUUGAGAAUGGUAAUAUGAAUUGAUACCAAGAACGCAACAUCUUACUUCAUCAAAAUACAUUUUGUUCAGCUUUAAAAAAAAUCAAUUUCAAGCACAACUAUUACUCCAUAUGUGCAAAUAAGCAGGCAAUCCAACACCCAUCACACAGAGAAAAAAAAUGUGCUUAUGCGAACAGACUACAAAUAUACUAACCCUCUUCCAACUAUUUUUCAAUCCAGUUCAGGAGAAACAAAUAGAAGAGAAAUGGGUAGAACCAAAAGGGUUAAGAAGGAAAAUGACCAUUAACUGUCAUCUAAUUAUUUGUUUUUGCAACAAGGUGACGUACAAUUUACAUGUUAAAGUUGAUAUUUUUCAAUCCAGUUCAGGAGAAACAAAUAGAAGAGAAAUGGGUAGAUCCAAAAGGGUUAAGAAUGAAAAUGACCAUUAACUGUCAUUUAGUUAUUUGUUUUUGCAACAAGGUGACGUACAAUUUACAUGUUAAAGUUGAUUUUCAUCUGACGUGAAAAUGACCUGUAGCAAUCAAUACUAAUGGCCUAAUUGUCGCCAAUGUCACACCAGAAAGAGGCAGACAAUAAGUGGUCUGCCAGUUACCCACGACAAAGGCUGAAAGAUUGGCAAUUGUGCUAAUGAUGAUGCAUAGAUCUAACCAGUGUUAUUUCCUCCUAGAGACAAGCCAAUCUAGUCAAGGUGAAAUCCAACGGAGGGACAAUACUAUAAGACAGGCAAUGUAAGAAAGAGGAGUAAGAGCGCCACAAGGCUUAAUGUAGUGUGGAGGGUAGGGAAAACAGUUCUCGUUUAGACUCCAAGAGAUAAGAUCAAUAACUAGGAGAAAAUAUGAUGGGGAAUAAAGAGGGUGAGAGAACAUGUUGUGAAAGGGCUUACUAUCUCCCAAAUGUAAGAGACUAGCGUACACGGUAUGACGGUAAUAUAUUCACGACAUGAAUCGUGAAGAUUUGAAAUAUAGCAAAGGAAAAUGGCCAUUCUGGUGCUGCUAA
rnacentral:lncRNA from 1 species